GUGCCAGCCGCCGCGGUAAUACGGGGGGAGCAAGCGUUGUCCGGAAUCACUGGGCGUAAAGCGGGCGUAGGCGGCCGGCUAAGUCGGAUGUGAAAUCCCGGGGCUCAACUCCGGAACUGCAUUCGAUACUGGUCGGCUAGAGUUCGAGAGGGGGAUGCGGAAUUCCGCGUGUAGCAGUGAAAUGCGUAGAUAUGCGGAGGAACACCUGAGGCGAAGGCGGCAUCCUGGAUCGACACUGACGCUGAGGCCCGAAAGCGUGGGGAGCAAACAGGAUUAGAUACCCUGGUAGUCCACGCCCUAAACGAUGUCUACUAGCCGUUGCGGGUAUCGACCCCUGCAGUGGCGCAGCUAACGCGAUAAGUAGACCGCCUGGGGAGUACGGCCGCAAGGUUAAAACUCAAAUGAAUUGACGGGG
rnacentral:rRNA from 1 species